rnacentral:misc_RNA from 1 species
GAGCUCCAGAGCAAAAUUGCAAUUAUUCAAAAACACUCACUCAAUCACCCAAUUCCCCAGAAUCAUGAAACACAGAAAAAAAGAACCCAUGCAAGCCGGCCAGCUUCGAUCAGAGGGAAACCAUUGCAGUAACCAAACCAACUGCAAAGAGUUCGAACAAUAGAUAAUCAUACACUAUCAAGCUUACUGCACCAGAAAGAUCCUUAGGAGCAACAGGACUCUCUACAAUGGGAGCCUU